rnacentral:lncRNA from 1 species
CCUGUGAAAUAAAAAAAUCAAUUACAAAAAGAUAUGUCAACUAUGUAUAUAGUCUCUCAAACACGAAUAAUAAGAAAAAAGUCAAUACUACUCGUAUUUAAAAUAUUCAAAAACGAAAUCAAAUAAAUAAAUGUAAAAUUAUAAUACAAAUGUAUGGAUAAUCGGUUUUCCAAAGGAUAUUGUGACAGUAUUAAUUAUUAUCCAGAACUGCUGAUAUGACAAAGAAAACACACAAAAAAUACACAAUAAGAAAUAGAGUACAAAGGAAUAAUAGUGUGAUUCUAUGCAUGUACGCACUACCUCAAAAUCUACUAAAAAAAUAGGUGCAAAACUACAAAAUACUAGAUAUGAAGUAAAAUUAAUCUAUAAGUGUGAGCCUAACAAUUCAGCUAAGAAACUUUGAAAACAGUGAAUAACUUGGAGUAAUGUUUUUUUCCAUCUGUUGAUUUUUUUAACAAACAAAACAAACAUCACAUAUGAAUCCAAGCUAAAAUGAAAAAACAAAAAUUCAGUGAUCAGGUAGUGAUGUAGCAGAAACUGUGUGAUCUAAAUGCUUGCCUCUAGCUCAAUGACCCUCAUAACAUAUUCUAAAAUCUGGAGUGAACCAAAAUCCGAUGGUUCCUGUAUACUCUUCCACUAGUUUGAAAUUUUUCUCCAUUGAAGAAGCAAUUUUGGUUUCAUUUAAUAUUAAAGAUGGAAAACGAAUGAAGGGUGAUGGAAGAAAACAUGAAAAGAAGAACCCACAGAUAAAAACAAUGACUCAUUUUCAAGGUCCCUAUGUAUAUACACUCACACUGUACCAUCGUGAAUAAUAUUUUGAGAUAAUAUGUGAUAUCAAAUAUGUAAUAUCAAUAUGUAAUUAGAAUGUAUAGAAAAUAACAAAACUUAAAAUACAGACAGUAAAAACA